UUGCCACUCCCUGAUCAGCAAGUCCAAGUAGCAUGACGUCAUCAAUAGGUGGGUCAUAGUGAUGUUCUGUGUCAUGUCAGGAUGAGCAAGGUCCUUGCAGACAUGUAGACAGUGAAUGUAUACUGCUGUUCUUCACAUAUGAAGGCAACCACUAUAGAUUUUCCUUGUUGAUGGGGAUUGAGAAGAAAGCAUUUGCCAGCAAUCUGAAAGCCCUGUGCUGGGAUGGUGGUUUCCCAAAAUGGAAGCAGCCUGGAUCACCGAGUCACUGCAUGGAGGAUAGCUGCCCUAAAGACACACCCAACCCACACUGGAAUUUUCAUGAGCAAGAAAGAAAUCUUUAUUGUGGAAUGUUCCAUGCAGUCCUGUGGUUAGUCACAAAGCCUGAAGAUGAUAAACGUACUACAGCAUCGGCCAGUGUUUCCCUUCCAGGACCAGAAGUGGACGGAGCCUGAGCAAGCAGAAAAUAAUAAUACAGCUGGCAGCCUGGCAAGGGGCCAUAAUGAAACGCCUCCGAGUAGUCCUUAUUUCUGGAGCAGCCCUCCCUUCCCACCCCGCCUCACUUGCUGUGCUGGUCUGGGCACAGGGAUAGGGCCUUCCAUGUCCCUGUCCAAGGGAAGCCAGGGUAGUUUGCGAUCUUAAACACAGGGAAACACGGAAGUCAGCCUGCUCUGCCUCUGGCUCCCAAGGGGAAUUCCCAGCAGCUGUUUAAUAGAGUGCAUGCCCACCCAACAUUAUAUAAUUGUUCGAGGCGGGAUGAGAUGAGGUGAGAAAAAAUAAAAGAAUGAAUGACUCCUGUGAGAUUGCAGACAGUUGAGUAACCAGGUGGCAUGCUUCCCUUAAGGAAUGUUCUAGUGUGAUUGGGGAGUAAGUGUGAGAAGUGUUGUAGCAUCCUUGUGUUUUAGGGGAAUGAGGACUAGCCAGGGGCUUCUGCUAAGUAGGCAGUUUCCUUUGGGCUGGAGCUGGGACAAGUAUUUCCAGCUCAAAGCACCAGGGGACACUGUGGCAGAAGGAAGGGACAGAAGAGAAUAGGGUCUUUAAUGUCAAGGCCACCUGCGGUCUGACCCUGGGCAUGGUCAGCCUCCCAAGGUCGGCCACAAUGAACUUGGAACCCGUCUCCUUGGACAGAGGACGGGUCGGCUUCUUGCUCUGCGGGAGGAAGCAUGAAGCCACAUCUUUAACUUGCAUUUUCCCACUAAGUGGAGUCAAGCCCUUUUGCAUCCUGAGAUAUUGUGGUUGCCUUGACUGGCUAGUGUCUUUACAAUCCAAAUUCCAAAUUACCAGCUACAAAUACACUUUAAUUUCCUUGCAAUCUAUCUACCUAUGACCUGGAACACAAUCAGAGGAAGCUGAGCCACAUCCUGAACAGGAUGUACUGCUUACCAGGUUGUGCGAAGCUCAGGCUACAGAACCUGGACCACAUCAGUAAAGUUGGGUCUGCCCGGUCCAGAUCUCAAAGAUCAACAUUGACCACAGACUUUUAAAUACAGGACUCAGUGAAAACGGCAGAACUAUUGAGCCCUCCCAGUGAAUUGAAAACUAAAUUAUAUGUAUACUCAUUCUCCCAGAAGUUGACUUAAGCAUUAGUGAUUUCCACUUCUGAGAAUGAUAUUUAGCAAGAUACUGCUACCAA